rnacentral:rRNA from 1 species
AUGGAAAAAUUCGAAGGGUAUUCAAAAAAACAUAAAUCUCGUCAACAAUACUUUGUCUACCCACUUCUCUUUCAGGAAUAUAUUUAUGCAUUUGCCCACCAUUAUGGAUUAAAUGGUUCUGAACCUGUGGAAAUAGUUGUUAGUUGUAAUAACAAGAAAUUUAGUUCACUACUUGUGAAACGUUUAAUUAUUCGAAUGUAUCAGCAGAAUUUUUUGGAUAACUCGGUUAAUCAUCCUAACCAAGAUCGAUUAUUGGAUUACAAAAAUUAUUUUUAUUCUGAGUUUUAUUCUCAGAUUCUAUCUGAAGGGUUUGCGAUCGUUGUGGAAAUCCCAUUCUCGCUACGGGAAUUAUUUUGUCCGAAAGAAAAAGAAAUACCAAAGUUUCAGAAUUUACGCUCUAUUCAUUAA